rnacentral:misc_RNA from 1 species
GAUGAAGAACGUAGUAAAAUGCGAUAAGUAAUGUGAAUUGCAGAAUUCAGUGAAUCAUCGAAUCUUUGAACGCACAUUGCGCCCCUUGGUAUUCCGAGGGGCAUGCCUGUUCGAGCGUCAUUAUAACCCUCAAGCUCAGCUUGGUGUUGGGGCCUGCUGCACUGGCAGCCCUUAAAAUCAGUGGCGGCGCCAUCUGGCUCUAAGCGUAGUAAUUCUUCUCGCUAUGGAGUCCUGGUGGAUGCUUGCCAUCAACCCCCAAUUUUUCUAUGGUUGACCUCGGAUCAGGUAGGGAUACCCGCUGAACUUAAGCAUAUCAAUAAGCGGAGGA